UUUCUUGACAGUAAGGAUAAACAAUGUGCAGUAAGUCACAUAUUUCCAAAAUAUCUGGGGGGGGGCUAUUACGGUUUCUGAAACGAGGUGAAAAUUACAAAAAACCGUGAUAGCCCCCCUGAGAAGGUGCAAUUGGUGUUGCAAAAGCGAAUUGGUAUUUAAUCAACGAGAUUCAGAGACGGAAGCACAAGCCCAGGAUGAUCCUUCCCGAGAAAGCAGUCUCCGUACUUCGUCUGGAACCAAGAUUCAUAACUCCAGCGAUUAGAACCUGUUCGGAUGCACUCAAAUGCAAAGUUUGUCGUGCCAUGAGAUAUUUUCCUCCUGAACAAUGCAGUAUGGUCAAUGUUAAAGUGAUCGGGUGUUUACUGUUUGUAUGUGAUGGCGACACACUAUAGUUAUACCGGUGAUUCAAGAACAGAUUGGAAUAUUCCAUCUGCGACUUGCUCUCAAUGUUUAAGACGACUUUCAGGACUAUGGGAGCAAUACAAUGAUCUAAAUACUACAGUAAAAUCUUGUUCACAUAAUGAGACAAUUAGUCCUAUUGCUGCAGUUUAUAUCAUAUAUGAAGAUAAUUAAAUAUGAUUGCAUCAUUCGAUGUAGACUGUCAUAAUCAUUUAAAUUUGACAUAUUCGUCUAUAAGACCGCCACGAUGCGGAAAAAACAAGAUCUAACGAUUGAAAGUGAUAGAGGCACAGUUGUCGAGAGCAAUCAUGUCACUCUAGAACCGAGUAAUGUAGCGGCAAAUCAUCAUCGUCAUCAGCUCAGAAUCAAAACAAAACACCAACAUGAUUCAAACAGGCAUUCAAAUAAUCAAUUACAAAUAAUCAAUUACAAAUAAUCAAUUAACACCACCAAAAGGCGUAAUUCCUUAAUUUUUAAUACAAAUAGUAUGCUAUACGGGAUUCCUAUGAAGAUGUAUGUAUACGCGAGUACGAACGUAUUAUUUCAUCCAAGUUAAAUAUGUGGAAUGCAAGUUUAAAUUCUCGUCCCUUUUUGCAGACAAAACUCAGAUCCAUGCAUCGUCUUUUCAUUGUUAGAGCCAAUUUGUAUUUUACAGCACGUAUACAUACAUGAUGUCAUACGUAUUCCUCUAAUGAGUCUUAAUAUAUAAUCUGUACACAACAAA